UGGCUCAGUGGAUAGAGCAUCAGCCUAUAGACUGAAGGGUCACUGGUUCAAUUCCAGU
rfam:Myotis brandtii contig159128, whole genome shotgun sequence.